rnacentral:rRNA from 1 species
GAUGAACGCUGGCGGCGUGCCUAAUACAUGCAAGUCGAGCGAACGGACGAGAAGCUUGCUUCUCUGAUGUUAGCGGCGGACGGGUGAGUAACACGUAGAUAACCUACCUAUAAGACUGGGAUAACUUCGGGAAACCGGAGCUAAUACCGGAUAAUAUUUUAAACCGCAUGGUUCAACAGUGAAAGACGGUCUUGCUGUCACUUAUCGAUGGAUCCGCGCUGCAUUAGCUAGUUGGUAAGGUAACGGCUUACCAAGGCAACGAUGCAUAGCCGACCUGAGAGGGUGAUCGGCCACCCUGGAACUGAGACACGGUCCAGACUCCUACGGGAGGCAGCAGUAGGGAAUCUUCCGCAAUGGGCGAAAGCCUGACGGAGCAACGCCGCGUGAGUGAUGAAGGUCUUCGGAUCGUAAAACUCUGUUAUUAGGGAAGAACAUAUGUGUAAGUAACUGUGCACAUCUUGACGGUACCUAAUCAGAAAGCCACGGCUAACUACGGG